CGGAGGAUCCAAGCGUUAUCCGGAAUUACUGGGCGUAAAGAGUUGCGUAGGUGGCAUUGUAAGCAAGUAGUGAAAGCGUUCGGCUCAACCGAAUAAACAUUACUUGAACUGCAAAGCUAGAGGAUGAGAGAGGUUAUUGGAAUUCCCUGUGUAGGAGUGAAAUCCGUAGAUAUAGGGAGGAACACCGAUGGCGUAGGCAGAUAACUGGCUCAUUCCUGACACUAAGGCACGAAAGCGUGGGUAGCAAACGGGAUU
rnacentral:rRNA from 1 species